CUCCUCCCGGUGUCCAUAGCUGGGCUGUUUGUCUGGAAAGCUGGGAGCUCCGAGUCCUGGAGAAGUGAUCCUGGCUUUCUCUCCAACGUUCCAGCUCUGGGGAUGGUGCCAAGAGCUCCACGCGAUCUGCUCUGUGUCUAACACGGUCUGGGGGCAGGUGCUUCUGGGCUUUGUAAACACUGGGCCUCUGGGCUCUGCCCCAGGAGCCCCCAGCUUCCCAGAACCGGCUCCCCAGUUCCUGUUCAGCUGCUGCUCUUUCUGUAAGGCCUUCGCAAGCCUCGCUGCCCCUUCUGGUUCACCAGCAGUGAAUGAGAGUUCCUGUUGCUCCACAUCCUCAUCAGCCCUUGGUGUUGUCAGUGUUCAGGAUUUGGGCCAUUCUAAUAGAUGAAGAAACUGAAGGUCGGAGAGACAGGGAAUUCCUGAAGUCAUGCAGAAAAUCAAGACCCACCAGGACUAGGAUUAGAGCGAGGCGCUGAGGACAUGGUCUCUGCUCUGGAUGGUGGAGAGACUCUGAAGAGUUUUUGGAGGCAUGAUCAGGCCUCUGCUUUACAAAAGUUCCCUUGGAUGAGGCAGAAGAGGGAUUUUAUGGGCACUUUGGAGGCAGAGAAGUCGUUUGCCGGCCAUUACGAUAAUCCAGGCCAGACAUCCCUGGUGGUGCAGUGGUUAGGAACCCGCCUGCCAAUUCAGGGGACAUGGGUUCGAGCCCUGGUCUGGGAAGAUCCCACAGGCCGUGGAGCAACUCAGCCUGUGUGCCCAGCUACUGAGCCUGUGCUCCAGAGCCUACAAGCCACAACUACUGAGCCCGUGUGCCACAACUACUGAAGCCUGCACACCUAGAGCCUGUGCUCCACAACAAGAGAAGCCACUGUGAUGAGAAGUCCGUGCACCACAACGAAGAGUUUUCCCUGCUCACUGCAACUAGAGAAAGCCCGCGCGCAGCAACGAAGACCCAACGCAGCCAUAAAUAAAUAAAUAAAUAAAAUAAAAAUUGUAAAAAAUGAAAAAAA